AGAAAUGAGGAAGGUGGUAACUCCAUCUCUACCGUGGUUUUGCGUGGAAGCACAGAUAGCAUUUUGGACGACCUUGAGAGAGCUGUUGAUGAUGGUGUUAAUACAUACAAGGUAAUAUCUGCUGGGUUAAAGAUUUUUUUUCCCUGUCCAGUUUCAUUUGUACCAAAUAUAUUGUAUUUAUCUUGACUGUUAUUUCUUAUAUUUUCUUCUCAGGCCAUGUGCAGAGACAGCCGUAUUGUUCCUGGGGCUGCAGCUACCGAGAUAGAAUUGGCUCAAAGAUUGAAGGAAUAUGCCAAUGCAGAAAUAGGGUACUUUCUUUUACUUAAUUUUUCAGAAAUUAUCCAUGUGAGGCUAGCUUUUUAUGCAAAACUGUCUAUCGUUUGGUAACUAAACUUAAGUCUCACUUUUGAAUUUUCAGGUUAGACAAAUAUGCCAUCUCCAAAUACGCUGAGAGUUUUGAGUUUGUACCCAAAACCCUUGCAGAUAAUGCUGGCCUCAAUGCCAUGGAAAUCAUAGCCGCUCUGUACACUGGACAUGGAUCUGGAAACACAAAACUAGGCAUUGACUUAGAGGAAGGUGCUUGUAAAGAUGUUUCAGAGACAAAAGUAUGGGAUCUUUUUGCAACCAAGUAAGUUUCACACAGUCUUUCUGCCAUCAGAUCUUUCUGUCAGACUUCUCUAUUCUUACUUAGCAGUUGUUCUUGAACAUAUAGAAAACUGGAGUAGAAUUUUCUGACUGCUUACAAAAAAGACCAUUCAUUUUAAUUGAUAACUAAGAUGUGUAAGUCUCUGUGCAGGUUAUUUGCUCUUAGAUAUGCUUCAGAUGCUGCAUGCACUGUACUUCGUGUAGACCAGGUAUACGAUUCAUCCCAUGAAGUAAAAAGAUAGUGUUCGCUGAAUGCAUUAUCUUCUAAGAUUAUGUCCCUUGUUCGUGCAAACUCUUUGAUUCAAUAUUCAGUUCUAUUGAUAGAUCUCAUCGAGUAUACUAAAAACAUGCAUGUUUAAUUGUUUAUACUCUAAAUGUGUAAAAUGUGCAGAUUAUAAUGGCGAAACCAGCCGGUGGACCAAGGAGAGAUGCAGCUCAAGCUGCAGGUGCUGGUGCGGAGGAAGACUAAGCCGGAGAACAAUUACCUCGUAGUGAAACUCUCUCUUCUUUUGUAACCUUUUGUUCUUUCAAUUCUGAGAAAAUUUUGGUGUGUCUCAGUUUAAGAUUUGUGAUCUUUG
rnacentral:lncRNA from 1 species